rnacentral:rRNA from 1 species
UACGGGGGGGGCAAGCGUUGUUCGGAAUUACUGGGCGUAAAGGGCGUGUAGGCGGUUCGCUAAGUUGGAUGUGAAAACUCUGGGCUCAACCCAGAGCCUGCAUCCAAAACUGGCGGGCUAGAGUUCUGGAGGGGGUAGCGGAAUUCCUGGUGUAGCGGUGAAAUGCGUAGAUAUCAGGAGGAACACCGGCGGCGAAGGCGGCUACCUGGACAGAAACUGACGCUGAGGCGCGAAAGCUAGGGGAGCAAAC